rfam:Dipodomys ordii contig_6872, whole genome shotgun sequence.
GGUGGCUCAGGGGCAGAGCGCUUGCCUUGCAUGCAUGAGGCCCUGGGUUCAAUUCUUAAGCACCA